ACUCCUACGGGAGGCAGCAGUGGGAAGUAUUGCACAAUGGGCGCAAGCCUGAUGCAGCAACGCCGUGUGAGUGAAGAAGGUUUUCGGAUCGUAAAACUCUGUCCUAAGGGAAGAAACAAAUGACGGUACCUUAGGAGGAAGCCCCGGCUAACUACGUGCCAGCAGCCGCGGUAAUACGUAGGGGGCAAGCGUUAUCCGGAAUCACUGGGGCGUAAAGGGUGCGUAGGCGGCUUAGCAAGCCAGGGGUGAAAGGCAUUGGCUCAACCAAUGUAAGCCUUUGGAACUGUUAAGCUUGAGUGCAGGAGAGGUAAGUGGAAUUCCUAGUGUAGAGGUGAAAUUCGUAGAUAUUAGGAGGAACACCAGUGGCGAAGGCGACUUACUGGACUGUAACUGACGCUGAUGCACGAAAGCGUGGGUAGCGAACAGGAUUAGAUACCCUGGUGGCAC
rnacentral:rRNA from 1 species